CAUGGCAUCAUACAUACCCUUUAUGACCAUGUCUGAGAUAUCUCAGUGUGAUUCCCAUUCAGAUGUUUUCCUAUGGUGAAACCAUAUGUCAUACAGACUUUCCAUAUAAUUGGCCUAGACAAGCUGGUCAACAUGUUUCCAUAAUAUGUAAAUCCACCUUUGACUCAUUUAAGACAACUAAUUACUAGAAAUGAGAAGCAUGGUGAUUUCCAAUAUAUCUGGAGAAGAAUAUUCUGGAUUUGUUUUUCAGAACAAAUAGUAACAUGUCAUGCAGCUAUAAAGAAAAUAAAAAAGGCAAAAAGAGCAUUUCUGCACAGCACUUCAAGAAACAUGAAUUACAACAGUUAUAUAUUGAACUACCACCAUCCACAUGUAGAAGACUCCAGGACAAGGAACUAAGUCAAGCAAUCUAUGUAAAUUAUUUAUUUUAA
rnacentral:lncRNA from 1 species